AAUGCAUCAUCUUGGGUUUGGGGUUGGGGAAGGGGUUUAAAAAGAGAGAUCAUUCUCCAAAAUAACUGGGUUGAGGUUCUUUGAGUAACAAUGCUUGACACGAUGCCUGUGUGUGUGUGUGUGCGCGAUUUUGUUUCGACAGCCUGAUCAAAUACUCUGCGCACUUAAGGGAAAUUGACCUUGGAAACAAUGUUCUGGGAGAAAUGGCUGCUGCUGAAAUACUUGAAGCGCUGAGAGCCAGAAAGACAGGUAAACUACCGGUCUUAAAAAUUACAGUCACUCCCCAGAUCUCUUCAGAUACCUUCAGAUCAAUUUGGAAAAAUAGCAAGAAGUCUAAUACUAUCCGUAAAAAGAAGAAAAAGACUAAAAACUGAAUAUGGGUGCUGUAUUUCCAUAUGGAUGUCAUCUAUUUCCAUGGCCAAGCAGACAUGCCUAGAUAGAUAUUGCUUAUUCUAUAGUAAUAUUUUUCACUGUA